GACGAACGCCGGCGGCGUGCUUAACACAUGCAAGUCGAACGGAAAGGCCCUGCUUUUGUGGGGUGCUCGAGUGGCGAACGGGUGAGUAACACGUGAGUAACCUGCCCUUGACUGUGGGAUAACUUCAGGAAACUGGGGCUAAUACCGGAUAGGAGCUCCUGCUGCAUGGUGGGGGUUGGAAAGUUUCGGCGGUUGGGGAUGGACUCGCGGCUUAUCAGCUUGUUGGUGGGGUAGUGGCUUACCAAGGCUUUGACGGGUAGCCGGCCUGAGAGGGUGACCGGCCACAUUGGGACUGAGAUACGGCCCAGACUCCUACGGGAGGCAGCAGUGGGGAAUAUUGCACCAUGGGCGGAAGCCUGAUGCAGCAACGCCGCGUGCGGGAUGACGGCCUUCGGGUUGUAAACCGCUUUCGCCUGUGACGAAGCGUGAGUGACGGUAAUGGGUAAAGAAGCACCGGCUAACUACGUG
rnacentral:rRNA from 1 species